UACGAAGGGGCUAGCGUUGUUCGGAAUUACUGGGCGUAAAGCGCACGUAGGCGGACAUUUAAGUCAGGGGUGAAUCCAAGAGCUCAACUCUACGGAACUGCCUUUGAUACUGAAGAUCUUGAGUUCGGGAGAGGUGAGUGGGAACGAUGCGAGUGUAGAGGUGAAAUUCGUAGAUAUUGCAAGAACACCAGUGGCGAAGGCGGAC
rnacentral:rRNA from 1 species